rnacentral:lncRNA from 1 species
CUUAUUCAGUGCUUCUUGUGCAGCUGUACUCGUAAAAGAUAGGUUUGCAUACGAGUAAUAGCAUAAUCUCUUGCAUCAGCAUGUGCUGCUGACUUCAACUAUUGUAUCAUUACCUAAGAAUCUAAGAUCACGCACAAAUAAUAGAAAAGAUUGCUGAAGUGCUGUGAAUUAAUGUAGAUUUUUUAAUUUAUAAUGUAUUUCAAUUAUUUGAGGUCCCCCCAG